UACGUAGGGGGCGAGCGUUGUCCGGAUUCAUUGGGCGUAAAGAGCUCGUAGGCGGCUUGGCAAGUCGGAUGUGAAAACUCCAGGCUCAACCUGGAGCCGCCAUUCGAUACUGCUAUGGCUAGAGUCCGGUAGGGGAGUGUGGAAUUCCCGGUGUAGCGGUGAAAUGCGCAGAUAUCAGGAGGAACACCGGUGGCGAAGGCGGUUCUCUGGGCAUUACCUGACGCUGAGGAGCGAAAGUGUGGGGAGCGAACAGG
rnacentral:rRNA from 1 species